rnacentral:lncRNA from 1 species
UGGGUGGGGUUAUUUAUACCCUUUGCCUUUUAAUCUCAACCAUCCAUCAAGAUUAAAUCUGGACCGUUUGAUCGUGAUUUAAUUGGGAUUAAAUCUGGGCCGUCCAUCGCGAUGCAAUAUGGGCCGUCCGUGCGCGUGAAUCUGGGUCGUCCAUGCGCACGUUUGAUCUUGGCCGUCCGUGCGCGCGAGAACGGAUCUGGGCCGUCCGAUCGCGCGCACACGGAUCGCCCACGUGGCCCGUCCCCUGGUCAGCGUUUCCUUACCACGCGGCGCGUCCUGGUUGGCCGGGGGUGCUGACUGGUCCGCUGACGUGGCUGCUGACGUGGCACAACUUUUCUAAAUUACGUUUUGACCCCCGGUUUUCUAUUUUCUUUUCAAAAACACUCCC